rnacentral:rRNA from 1 species
GUAGGUGGCAAGCGUUGUCCGGAAUUAGUUGGGCGUAAAGCGCGCGCAGGCGGUCCUUUAAGUCUGAUGUGAAAGCCCACGGCUCAACCGUGAGGGUCAUUGGAAACUGGGGGACUUGAGUACAGAAGAGGAAAGCGGAAUUCCAAGUGUAGCGGUGAAAUGCGUAGAGAUUUGGAGGAACACCAGUGGCGAAGGCGGCUUUCUGGUCUGUAACUGACGCUGAGGCGCGAAAGCGUGGGGAGCAAACAGGAUUAGAUACCCUGGUAGUCCACGCCGUAAACGAUGAGUGCUAAGUGUUAGGGGGUUUCCGCCCCUUAGUGCUGCAGCUAACGCAUUAAGCACUCCGCCUGGGGAGUACGGCCGCAAGGCUG